UAUUUUGUAUCUUACACCCGCCUA
rnacentral:siRNA from 1 species